rnacentral:rRNA from 1 species
UACUCCUACGGGAGGCAGCAGUAGGGAAUCUUCGGCAAUGGACGGAAGUCUGACCGAGCAACGCCGCGUGAGUGAAGAAGGUUUUCGGAUCGUAAAGCUCUGUUGUAAGAGAAGAACGAGUGUGAGAGUGGAAAGUUCACACUGUGACGGUAUCUUACCAGAAAGGGACGGCUAACUACGUGCCAGCAGCCGCGGUAAUACGUAGGUCCCGAGCGUUAUCCGGAUUUAUUGGGCGUAAAGCGAACGCAGGCGGUUAGAUAAGUCUGAAGUUAAAGGCUGUGGCUUAACCAUAGUACGCUUUGGAAACUGUUUAACUUGAGUGCAAGAGGGGAGAGUGGAAUUCCAUGUGUAGCGGUGAAAUGCGUAGAUAUAUGGAGGAACACCGGUGGCGAAAGCGGCUCUCUGGCUUGUAACUGACGCUGAGGCUCGAAAGCGUGGGGAGCAAACAGGAUUAGAUACCCUGGUAGUCCACGCCGUAAACGAUGAGUGCUAGGUGUUGGGUCCUUUCCGGGACUCAGUGCCGCAGCUAACGCAUUAAGCACUCCGCCUGGGGAGUACGACCGCAAGGUUGAAACUCAAAGGAAUUGACGGA